rnacentral:rRNA from 1 species
GGCUCAGGACGAACGCUGGCGGCGUGCUUAACACAUGCAAGUCGAGGGGGCCCAGCAAUGGGUCACCGGCGAACGGGUGCGUAACACGUGAGCUACCUACCGAGUUGUGGGGAAUAGCCGGCCCAACGGCCGGGUAAUACCGCAUACGCUCUCUUUGGGGCAUCCUGAGGAGAGGAAACGCUUGCGGCAAUUCGAGGGGCUCGCGGCCUAUCAGCUAGUUGGUGAGGUAACGGCUCACCAAGGCGAUGACGGGUAGCUGGUCUGAGAGGAUGGCCAGCCACAUUGGGACUGAGAAACGGCCCAGACUCCUACGGGAGGCAGCAGUGGGGAAUCUUGCGCAAUGGGCGAAAGCCUGACGCAGCGACGCCGCGUGGGGGAGGAAGGUCUUCGGAUUGUAAACCCCUGUUGCCCGGGACGAAUGCCCUCUUUAGAGGGAGUGACGGUACCGGGUGAGGAAGCACCGGCUAACUCUGUGCCAGCAGCCGCGGUAAUACAGAGGGUGCGAGCGUUGUCCGGAAUCACUGGGCGUAAAGGGCGCGUAGGUGGCUUGCCAAGCGUGUGGUGAAAGCCCGGAGCUCAACUCCGGGUCUGCCAUGCGAACUGGCAGGCUUGAGCACGGUAGAGGCCAAUGGAAUUCCGGGUGUAGCGGUGGAAUGCGUAGAGAUCCGGAAGAACACCGGUGGCGAAGGCGGUUGGCUGGGCCGUAGCUGACACUGAGGCGCGACAGCGUGGGGAGCAAACAGGAUUAGAUACCCUGGUAGUCCACGCCGUAAACGAUGGGCACUAGGUCCUUGGGGGAGCGACCCCGUGAGGGCCGGCGCUAACGCAUUAAGUGCCCCGCCUGGGGAGUACGGCCGCAAGGCUGAAACUCAAA